AGAAUAAACUGUAUGAGAUGGCUCGUGAUGUGUUAGCCAUUCCUAUUUCAAGUGUUGCAUCAGAAUGUGCAUUCAGUACUGGAGGUCGCAUUCUUGACUCGUUUAGGAGUUCGUUGACGCCUAAACUGGUGCAAUCUCUUAUUUGUCUUCAAGAUUGGCUUAGAAGUGAACCUAUUCCUAUUAAAGUUGAGGAAGACUUGGAGUAUCUAGAACAACUGGAACUUGAUUUGGCAAAUUGUGCAAAAGAUUCAACUAUUAUUGACAUAUAGUUGCAACCUGUGGCAUGUGUGGUUUGAUCAUGGCGCCUAAAUGGAACUUAAAGAUUAUGUAUCAUUUUCAUAAAUGCUUAGAUCAACAAGUAAAUAGACAAGUAGUAAAUAGACAAGUGAUGCUGCAGUAAUAACUUGCUAGUGAGCUCUUUUGGUAGACAAGCUGAUGCUGCAGUAGUACUUAAUGUAGUUAUUUUAUUGAUUUUGAGACUUCAGCAACAUGAAAACUUUCUAACUUCUCGA